UACGGAGGGUGCAAGCGUUAUCCGGAUUCACUGGGUUUAAAGGGCGCGUAGGAGGGCAGGUAAGUCAGUGGUGAAAUCUUCGAGCUUAACUCGGAAACUGCCGUUGAUACUAUCUGUCUUGAAUGCCGUGGAGAUGAGCGGAAUAUGUCAUGUAGCGGUGAAAUGCUUAGAUAUGACAUAGAACACCGAUUGCGAAGGCAGCUCGUUACACGAACAUUGACUCUGAGGCUCGAAAGCGUGGGGAUCAAACAGG
rnacentral:rRNA from 1 species